rnacentral:rRNA from 1 species
AUUAGAGUUUGAUCCUGGCUCAGGACGAACGCUUGCGGCGUGCCUAAGAAAUGCAAGUCGAACGGCCCAGCAAUGGGCAGUGGCGAACGGUCGCGUAACACGUAGGCAACCUGCCCCGGAGUGGGGGACAACGGCCCGAAAGGGCCGCUAAUACCGCAUGUGGUUGCGCUUUCGCAUGAGAGCGCAUCUAAAGCCUUGUGCGCUCCGGGAUGGGCUUGCGGCCUAUCAGCUCGUUGGCGGGGUAACGGCCCACCAAGGCGACGACGGGUAGCUGGUCUGAGAGGACGAUCAGCCGGAUUGGGACUGAGAUACGGCCCAGACUCCUACGGGGGGCAGCAAUUAGGAAUCUUGCGCAAUGGGGGCAACCCUGACGCAGCGACGCCGCGUGCGGGACGAAGGCAUUCGUGUCGUAAACCGCUUUUGGCGGGGAAGAAAAGUGACGGUACCCGCCGAAUAAGCCCCGGCUAACUACGUGCCAGCAGCCGCGGUAAUACGUAGGGGGCGAGCGUUGUCCGAAGUUACUGGGCGUAAAGCGCGCGUAGGCGUCCCGAAAAGUCCGGGGUGAAAGGUCCAGCGCUCAACGCGGACAGUGCCUUGGAAACUUUCGGGAUCGAGUGUGGCAGGGGGGAACGGAAUUCCAGGUGUAGCGGUGAAAUGCGUAGAUAUCUGGAGGAACACCGGCGGCGAAGGCGGUUCCCUGGGCUGACACUGACGCUGAGGCGCGAAAGCGUGGGGAGCGAACGGGAUUAGAUACCCCGGUAGUCCACGCCGUAAACGAUGGGUGCUAGGUGUCCGCGGUAUCGACCCCGCGGGUGCCGCCGUUAACACAAUAAGCACCCCGCCUGGGGAGUACGGCCGCAAGGUUGAAACUCAAAGGAAUUGACGGGGGCCCGCACAAGCGGUGGAGCAUGUGGAUUAAUUCGUCACUAACCGAAGAACCUUACCCAGGCUUGACAUCGAGUGAAAGGCCGUGAAAGCGGUCCCUCCCUUCGGGGACACGAAGACAGGUGUUGCAUGGCUGUCGUCAGCUCGUGUCGUGAGAUGUUGGGUUAAGUCCCGCAACGAGCGCAACCCUCACCGUAUGUUGGCAGCGUAAAGUCGGCAACUCUUACGGAACUGCCCGUGCAAGCGGGAGGAAGGUGGGGACGACGUCAAGUCGGCAUGGCCCUUACGCCUGGGGCUUCACACAUGCUACAAUGGGCGGCGACAGAGCGUAUCGAAGGGGCGACCCGGAGGCAAUCGCGCAAAUCCGCCCUCAGUUCGGAUCGCAGGCUGCAACUCGCCUGCGUGAAGCCGGAAUCGCUAGUAACCGCCGGUCAGCUAAACGGCGGUGAAUACGUACCCGGGCCUUGUACACACCGCCUGUCAAGUCACCUGAAUUGUCUGCACCCGAAGUCAGCGGCCUAACCCGGUUCGCCGGGAAGGAGUUGCCGAAGGUGUGGGGAGUGAGGGGGACUAAGUCGUAACAAGGUAACCAAU